ACUAUGACGUACCCUUUGGGUCAAAAGUACAGAUACGCCAACAGCUUAAAAUAGAUAUCACAGCGGUGACAAAAUUGUUACCGCGGUGACAUUUUUGUCACUGCGGUAAUAAAUUUAUCACUGCGGUGAUAUAUUUGUAACUGUUGUGAUACUUUGUUUGACCCAAACAGUUUGAUAAGAGCUAAAUCGAACUAACCAAUGAAACAACGUCUUGCAAAACGGCAAAUCGGCGAAUAUUUACUGCGAAGUUUUCAAGAUGUCUGCCUCCAUGGAUACUGUAAACAACUUUUCAGAUCAUGAGUUUGGUAAUUUUAAUCUUCGGACACAAGGAUGACGACAAUUAAGAGUCCAUCAAUGGUUGUGAAAUCAAGGAUAUUCUAUUGGAAGGAAAGACAUGAAUGCAUUCAAGUUUCCUGUGAGCAAUAUGAUUUCCUGACUUUGCCUUACAGUAUAAAACAAGAGAGUUAAACACUUGAAACUUGAAAAGAUGUGGUCCUAGAACCUGAAAUGGCAACUCCAGCUCUCUACAAAAGCAUCAUCUGGAAUCCAACUAUGUACAAUCAAAAAAUUAAUGUGUGUCUUAAUUUUGUCUUUUUAGAGCCCUGACGGGUCUUAAGAUAUCAGAUGUUUUAAAAUUCAUUGUGUUUGUGCUGCAAGUUUUAUGAACUGGUUAUAAAGCUUAUGUAUGAAGAACCGUUUACUGCCUGGUUAGCUGCAGUAGAGCACUCAUAGGAAUUGGGAGAUCUGUGGAAUCCCUUUGUGGCUUGCAAAUUUCAACCUGUUUUCAAAAAUUGCUUAGUUGGUCAGUGUGUUAAUAUUUCAAUUUUCAGGUCUGGUAAAGAAAGUUAUUUAAAGGCAGUGUGCAAGGUUUUCCUUAAUAAUAGCAUGUACACAGGAAAAAAAAGCUUAAUAUUAGAUAUUUUGUUAUAAUCAGUUUGUGGUCCGUCCAUAGCUAAACAUGAACAUAGAUAUUUUUUACUUUUAUUAGUACUAUAUACAUAUUAUAAAUAAAAGGUUGUAUCUUGCAUCUUCUAAUCCUUAAAGUGGCAUGGUGGCCUAGUGUGUGUGUUGUUUAUCUAUGAAAUUUAUACAUGUAUACUAAUAUCUAGGCUACAUUAUGAUGUACUUCUCAAAGAACAGUAUGUUUAAAAUGCAGGUUUAUACUAAUUUAAAUACAGGUACAAAUUAAUCCUGUGUUGUAUAUAGCAGAAUGUCCCUUAUUUUCACUGUUAUCUUUUAAAACUGUUCAGGUACACUUCACCUGCAUAAAACUAGUUCAGAUAUAUAUGUCCCAUAGAGCAAAACAAUUGUCACUAAAUCAUUGUAUAAUCGUUAUUGGCAGUUCACUUCUGUAGUUUCUGAAAUGAAAAAUUGUUGUUACCUACCUUCACUCUUAAUUCAGUUUGAGUGGAAUGCUUAAUUUCAUUUUUUUUUCUUUAUUAGUUGUAAGUAGUGGGCUCUGUGUUCUGAUUAGUUCCUAAAUUGAACACAUGUUUAAACGUCGGUUGUUAAAUUGUAUAACAUGUUAAUGCAGAAUUGUACCAUAACAUGAAAUUGUAUUUUUUGCUUUGUACAUUGUUUGAAAUGUUACCAUCUUGUUUCUAAUAAAUGUUUUUUAUAAUUCACCAUCUAGUCCUAUUUGCAAAAAAGUGAACCAUUUAAAUAUUGUAUUUAAAGUAUACACCCGUUAGCCUUACUUAAGUCGUGAACAUUUCGUAGGCAUUUGUUAUCCCCAGUAAUAGGCGGAGGGAUAUUGUUUUGGCGCUGUUUGUCCGUCCUUCCGUCCGUCCGGCACUUUUGUGUCCAGAGCCAUAUCUUGUUAGUGCUUUAGCGGAUUUCAUUGAAACUUGGUAUGAGUAUAUUAUAUGGAUAAGAGGAUGAUGUACACUUUGUAUCUUGAAAAAAAUGCUUUUUAAUAUAAUCUUAGAGCUUUAUCUUCACUAACACAUGAGCCAGAGCCAUGAAACUUGCCAUAGUUGUUCUCAAUCAUCUAGGGGUGCUUCACAUUCAACAUCCAUAAUUCUAGGGGCUAAGGUCAUGGCCCUUUGUAUCUUGAAAAAAAUGCUUUUUGAUAGAAGCUUAGAGCUUUAUCUUCAUUAACACAUGAGCCAGAGCCAUGCAACUUGCCCUAGUUGUUCUCAAUCAUCUAGGGGUGCUUCACAUUCAACAUCCAUAAUUCUAGGGGCUAAGGUCAUGGCCCUUUGUAUCUUGAAAAAAAUGCUUUUUGAUAGAAGCUUAGAGCUUUAUCUUCAUUAACACAUGAGCCAGAGCCAUGCAACUUUCUAUAGUUAUUCCAAUCAUCUGGGGUUGUUUCACAUUCAACACCCAUAAUCCUAGGGGCUAAGGUCAAGGUCACACAUUGAGGUCAAAGGUCACAAAUUUGAGGAAUUAUUCAUUAAUUGGUAAUUCCUUUACUAUGCAUCAAGGAAUUCUGUUAUAACUGUCACAAUUGUUCUCAAUUAUCUAGCUGAGUUUCAAAUAUAAGAUCCAGGUUGCUAGGGUCAUGGUCAAAGUCACACACAAAGGUCAAAAUCACACAUUUUGAUCAUAUAUAUAUAUAUAUAUAUAUAUAUAUAUAUAUAUAUAUAUAUAUAUAUAUAUAUAUAUAUAUAUAUAUAUAUUAAAACUCAGACCCCACAUAGAUUGCAACCGUCAAUAUUUUCUACACCGAAGUACCAUUAAAAGACCAGUAUUGUUAGUGAGUAUGCACAUUAAGAUCUUAUGCUGAAUGUUCAUUUGGAGUAUGAAUGCUAUUCCAACCACUAUUUCACUUUUAAAAUAUGUAACCACCAAUUGCGAGUCCGCAUGCAAAGAUGUAUUGUAUUUAUUAAAUUUAGAAUUUCUAAAUUCUGGAUAUUAUUUAGAGUAGCAGCAAUCUCAACAUUUCUUACACAAAUUUUAUUCUGUUAAUAAGACGUGUAUAGUAUAGUGCAGGUUAUAAUCUGUUUUUAAAACUAUUAUAUCUAAACAUGUAAUAUACUUUUCUAUUAUUGCAUAAAAAUAGUCAUGUAUUAGUUUUAAUACAUUUUAAAAGUACAUAGGUGAGACUGUAUCAAUUUACUGAUGUUUUUAUCAGUGUAAAUAAUGAAUAACAUGUAUGUACAUUAAGGUCCCUUAUAAGUCUUUUGUUGAACGGUCAUAUAGAAUGCAAUGUAUCUAUUUUAUGAAUGUUGAAAGACAUUUGUACAAUACAUUGUAUAUAGACUGGGACUAUAACAAUGAACUAAAAUUGCUUGCUAAAACAUUUGAAUGAAGUUGAAGAAAGGUAACUCUUUAGGGCUUAAAAAUGGUUGGCAAUAUGGUUCGAGUUACUUCCCUUCAAGCUUACGUGUGGCUAGCAAUUUUACUUAAUACAUUAUGAAAACUGAUUUUAAGUUGAUAUUACAUUGGAGAUUUAUAUUAUCACCACGAUUCAUCUUAAUCAAGGAAUGACCAUGGUAAUUGGAAGAUCUUUUAAGAUGUGUAAUUGUUUGCGCAAUAAUGCAUUUUGUAAUGACGGGCACUAUAUUGGAAGUGUAUGGCAUUCUUGAUAGGGUCGGUGGUGGUAAUGUAGUUUUUACCAUGUAUAGUCAUGAUAGUCAUGUAACGUACAUUGAUAAGCGUUGAAUAAGUCUCUUAUAAUUCCUUUCAUGAAUGGCCAAUGUUGUAUCUAUAGCUUUAUGUUUUAUAUAUGCAUUGUGAAAAUUGUAAAUAUUGGAUGAGACUAUAAUAAACUAUAAAACGUG